rnacentral:rRNA from 1 species
GUGCCAGCCGCCGCGGUAAUACGGAGGGUGCAAGCGUUAUCCGGAAUCAUUGGGUUUAAAGGGUCCGCGGGCGGUCAUAUAAGUCAGUGGUGAAAGCCUACAGCUCAACUAUAGAAUUGCCAUUGAUACUGUAUGACUUGAAUUCGAUCGAAGUGGGCGGAAUAUGACAUGUAGCGGUGAAAUGCUUAGAUAUGUCAUAGAACACCGAUAGCGAAGGCAGCUCACUAGGUCUGGAUUGACGCUCAGGGACGAAAGCGUGGGGAGCAAACAGGAUUAGAAACCCUUGUAGUCC